UUGAUGUUCUAUUAAGCAAUAGAACACGAGAGGGCGUGUGUUAUCACGAAUUCGGUCGCAGGCACGAACCGAAGGUGAGUGCCGUAGAUCAUCACAGCCGUGAUGUUAUUCGUGAUAACACACGACCAUGGGCGGAUCUACCGGGGUGGCAUAGGGUGGCAAAUGCCACCCUAAAAGAAAGCCUUGCCACCCCUGCUGCCACCCCAGUUGGCAGCAACAAAUUAAAAGAAAAGUUAUGGCCAAUUUGCAACGCUGCCACUCUGACAGUCAAAAACUGUUUGCUUUCCCUCUCAUACAUCUGCCACUCAUCACCUGUGUCUUACCUUAAUGCCUUUCCUUUGAUAAUGAUAAUGCCCCACCUACAGUAGUGUUACCAUACUUUUAUCUCCUAUUAAUGAGAUUACAUUGUAUGGUCACUUAUUCCUAAUAUGAACUGUUUCACAUGAAACCUUAAAUGCAAGACAUUGAUUGCGUGAGAUUAAGUUUGUCUGUAUGAGUUUGUAAAUGGCAGCCCGUGCCCUUUUGUAGUGUGUACAUACUAUUUCUCAUCAAACUGUUAUAACUGUGAUUAAAUUCAGUAUAAAUACGUCUGCCAUAUGUUGCCACCCCUCAAAAAUUCCUGCCCCCCUCUCGCCACCCCAUAAAUAUUUUUCUAGAUCCGCCCCUGCACACGACCUCAAGUGUUCUAUUGCUUUUAUACAACAGUUUUCACAAAAUAAAGAAAGAAAAUAAAUCAAAAAAGCCCUAAAUUUAAUAAUAAAUAUGCUUUAAUAUUGACAAUACCUUCCGCCUAAAAGUAGUUCCACAACAAAUAUAAAGUUUAACACUACAAAGCAGACAUUCCAAGUUGCAAAAACUCAUUUCAGGGAGGUAAGAACAACAACAAGAAAAAGGUAAGAACCUCCGAAGGGAAAAAAAGAAAUAAAAAAACCUCUUGCACACACCAGAGGAUACAGGUGAUAACAGAACUCUUAGAAGCUGCUAACUGGGCUAUUAUGCUAACUGUUCGCGUUACAAACACAUUAAAGUUCCCUACAUAGUGCACUAGAUUGUGUAUCAAAUCACGGAUUUAUGUUCGCUACACAGUGCACUAGAUAGCGAAUUAGACAAUUGGUUAUGUUCCCUAUACAGUGCGAUAGAUUGUAUAUCAGAUCACGGAUUUAAAACAUGAAGUAUUAUUGGAAAGAAAUACAGGAGAUAAACUGUUCAGUAGAGCUUUGUUUUAUUGCAUCCUUAAACCGAACCCACGCAUGCGUAUACGGCAUCAAGCGUAACUCCGUGUUAACCCUUUAACGUCUUAAAGGCAUAUUACAACAGUGUGCAUGCAGCUUGUCGUUACUGGCAACGCGUCAGCGGAGUAAUACCGUUGUGGUGUGAAAAGCCCGUGCUGUUGUCACGAAUAUCAGCACGGUUAGAACGCUUCUCAACCAAUCAGAUUGUACGGUCGGAACUAACUGUUGUAUAAUGUUCUAUAUCCAAAACCUAUUGCUAUAAAAUAAGCAAGAGGUUCCAGGUUCCGUUCUUGGGGUGCUUAUGCCAUACACACUUUUUUUCUCUCCAUUUAAAAACACUUUACUCAGCCUUACCCACGAGGAACUUAAUUUGUUAAUUAGUUCAAUCAGGUUUUAAAUAAGUUAAAACAAAAAAAAGUGAUAUGGGAUCCCCAGGACUGGUAUAGGAACCCCUGAAUUAAACAAAGUCAUUACUAAUUUUGCGUACCCCCUUACAGAUUGGGCUACGAGAUUCAUCUCCUGUUGUGCUGACACACACAUGCAGUUCAUGUGUUGCAGGCACUGCCCUAUGCCCUAUGCAACAUAGUGGCUUUGCUUUUUCAAACUGCACAUUUCUCUCAGCUCAGUGUGCCAGUAGUUCCCCCUGUGCACAGCUGUACUGAAACUGAACAGGACUGGCACAAACCUCGGACAAUUGGUGUAAAGCCAGGACCAGUCAACAACAUGAUCACGAAACCUGUGCCAAAUCAAAAGUCUCAAGGCGUAGUUAGGAGUGGACUCUACAGGGGCAUGGUGGGCCCUUUACCGGAUCCAUGCAUGUUAAGAGUGGCAGAGGCUUAUGAAAAAUUCAGCCUUGAAGACAAGCCGCAUGGAACUCAACAAGCCAGCUCUGCAGUGUGCGUUUGGUAUAGUGCAGGAGGGCAGUGUUCUGUCAUAUCGGCAGCCUGUUUUACCCAUACGACACACCACGCUGCAUCCUGAUGUUCCAUCAACCCCACUUCUGCCUCUGAAAGACCACCACCUUGAUGCACCCACCUGUGCUUUUGUGUGCACUGAACAGGAGCUUAUUGAUAUGGCUCAAAAAAUUGAGGUGUCAACUCGGGAGCAGAGUUCUGACUGGCAUCUGCUCCGCAAGCCUAGAGUAACAAAUAAUGGAUAAAUAAUAAAUAAUAAUAAAUAUUGGAAAGAGAAUUUGUUUAGACUUAAUGUUUUAAUGUACAAAGAGUAUACCAAAUAUUUACAGAACCUGGUGUGUCUAAACUAUGGUCUUUUACAGUUCAAUAAAUACAUAAUUUGUGGACAGAAAUGAGAAAAUGUAAAUAUUGAAUAUUCUGUAUACUUAAUAAAUUAUAGGGCGGCACAGUGGCUGAGUGGGUAGCACUGUCGCCUCACAGCAAGAAUGUCCUGGGUUCGAUCCCCAGGUGGGGCGGUCCGGGUCCUUUCUGUGUGGAGUUUGCAUGUUCUCCCCGUGUCUGUGUGGGUUUCCUCCGGGUGCUCCGGUUUCCUCCCACAGUCCAAAGACGUACAAGUGAGGUGAACUGGAGACAUAAAAUUGUCUGUAACUUUUCAAAAUAACUUGUGAACUGAUGAAUCUUGUGUAAUGAGUAACUACCGUUCCUGUCAUGAAUGUAACCAAAGUGUAAAACAUGAUAUUAAAAUCCUAAUAAGACAAACAAACAAAAUUAAAUCAUAUGUUUACUUAAUAAAAGAUUGUUUGUGUUUUUGUGAAA